UACGUAGGGUGCGAGCGUUGUCCGGAAUUAUUGGGCGUAAAGAGCUCGUAGGCGGUUAAGUAAGUCAGGUGUGAAACCUCCAGGCUCAACCUGGAGACGCCACUUGAUACUGCUUUGACUUGAGUUCGGUAGGGGUAAGCGGAAUUCCUGGUGUAGCGGUGAAAUGCGCAGAUAUGCGGAGGAACACCGAUGGCGAAGGCAAUCCCCUGGGCCUGCACUGACGCUCAUGCACGAAAGCGUGGGGAGCAAACAGG
rnacentral:rRNA from 1 species